rnacentral:snoRNA from 1 species
GGUCAAUGAUGAGAACUAGCCAAAUCUGAGUGUGUGUGUCACACCACUGAUUAUUUGCGAGA